ACUUUUAUAUGGUUAUAUAAGCACAAAAAAAAUGAACAAGUAAAAAACACAAUCUUUUACGUUUAUUUUAGUUAAUUUGUUAUUACAUUAAUUCCUAAAAAGAUUUUUUUACAUAUAAAUAUGUAUAUUUUUUUCUUAGUUUUAAAUACCAGUUGCUUUCCUGUCAGACCGCCUGACAGCCACGCGCCUGUCAGACGGCUGACUUGCCCACGCGCGCGUGAUUUCACGCGCAGGCAUAAAACAUUUUUUUCUCUCUCUUCCAUUUUCAUUCCCGUCUUCUUCAGCGAAAGCAAGAAGCUCUCUCUCCUUCCGCGAAAAUUAUUUCGCGAUUCGCUCUCCUCUCUUCUACUCAACCUCCACCGCUGUCCUUCAUCACCUCCGCCGCGCUGAUCCUUGGUGAUAUGGCGCUCUACCUCUUUGGCCGCCGAAUAAUCUCUCAAUAUCUUGCAGUCACGACGGCGAGCAGUGAGGAGCUCCGCUCUCCCGAUCCUCUAUUUUCUCAAUCCGGUGAAUCUCUGAAUUCCGACUUCUGCAUUCUUUUUACCGUUAUGAACUAGGAAUUAUUCAAGCUUCUCUAUAAAAGAAAUUUGGUGCUCUUGACCAUACUGUAACUGAAUCAAAGCCCUCCACCUGAUGAGGUCCCAGCAAGCACGACUCUUACAAGCGUGCUCAGUCUCUCCAGAAGUCCCAUGGGGGUUCCCAUUUGGCUGUUGAUCACUUGAUCUUGGGGAUUAUUGAGGAUUCUCAGAUCAAUGAUUUGCUCAAGGAAGCUGGGGUUGCAAUGGCCAGAGUGAAGACUGAGGUUAAGAAGCUUUGAGGAAAAGACGGGAAUAAAGUGGAAAGUGCCACUGGAGACACUACUUUCUAACCCCUUAAGACUUAUGGUCGUGAUUUGGUCGAGUAGGCUGGGAAACUAGACCCUGUGAUUGGUCGUGAUGAGGAGAUUUGGAGGGUUGUCAAAAUCCUGUAUUGAUUGGUGUGGGUAAAACUGAUGUUGUUGAAGGCCUGGCUCAUAAGAUUGUGAGUGGUGAUGUUCCUGGUAACCUUUCUGAUUUCAGGCUUAUUUCAUUGGAUAUGGGAGCUCUAGUUGUUGGAGCUAAGUACAGGGGUGAUUUGAAGAAAUGCUGAAGGCCUUGCUGAAAGAGGUGGAAGAAGCCGAAGGGAAUGUCAUUCUGUUCAUUGAUGAAAGCCAUCUUGUAUUAGGUGCAGGAAGAACUGAAGGUCGAUGGAUGCAGCAAACGUGUUUAAGCCUAUGCUUGCCAGGGGUCAACUUCGUUGCAUUGGUGCAAACCCUUGAGGAGUAUAGGAAGUAUGUGGAGAAGGAUGCUGCAUUUGAGCGGCGUUUCCAGCAAGUGUAUUUUGCUGAACCAAGUGUUCCUAAUACGAUCAAUAUCCUACGAGGGCUGUAGGAAAAGUACGAAGGACACCAUGGUGUUCAAAUUAAGAUCGAGCCUAUAAUUCUCCUAAGCAAGACAUCAUUUUAGUUAAGAAUUAUGUUGUUUUAGUCAUAAUUUCGUUAUAUUUAUUUAAGAAAUAAAAUGAUAUAGUUACAUUUAAGUCGAUUAUUGUUUUAGUUGUAAUUUUGUUAUCUUUAGUUAAGAAAUAAAAUGAUUUAGUUGAUUUUUUCUC